AAAGGGGGACGGAGAAGGCUAGCCAAGCCAGAUGUUGGUUACUGGUCCAAGCGUUCGAGGCGUUGAGAACCGGCGAAAACGGUUUGAGCUGAGGCGUGAGUGCGAGCUGCUACGGCAGCGAAGUUGGUGACGUCAAGCUUCCAAGAAAACCCCUAUACCCGUUAAGGCAUCAUGGCCUGUACCCGAAACCGACACAGGUGGGGUGGUAGAGAAUACCGAGGGGCGCGAGGUAACUCUCUCUAAGGAACUCGGCAAAAUGGCCCCGUAACUUCGGGAGAAGGGGUGCCACCGCAAGGUGGUCGCAGUGAAGAGGCCCAGGCGACUGCUUACCAAAAACACAGGUCUCCGCUAAGUCGCAAGACGAUGUAUGGGGGCUGACGCCUGCCCAGUGCCGGAAGGUUAAGGAAGCUGGUCAGCGCAAGCGAAGCUGGCGACUGAAGCCCCGGUGAACGGCGGCCGUAACUAUAACGGUCCUAAGGUAGCGAAAUUCCUUGUCGGGUAAGUUCCGACCCGCACGAAAGGCGUAACGAUCUGGGCGCUGUCUCGGGGAGAGGCUCGGCGAAAUAGAAUUGUCUGUGAAGAUGCGGACUACGUGCACCCGGACAGAAAGACCCUAUGAAGCUUUACUGUAGCUUGGUAUUGUGCCCGGGCUCUGAAUGCGCAGGAUAGGUGGGAGGCUUUGAUCAUCGGCUUGCGGGUCGAUGUGAGCCAACGGUGAGAUACCACUCUUUCAGAGCUAGGGUUCUAACAGUCACCCGUUAUCCGGGGACUGGACAGUAUCAGGUGGGCAGUUUGACUGGGGCGGUCGCCUCCUAAAAGGUAACGGAGGCGCGCAAAGGUCUGCUCAGGCUGGUUGGAAAUCAGCCGACGAGUGUAAAAGCAGAAGCAGGCUUGACUGUGAGACCUACAAGUCGAACAGGGAGGAAACUCGGCUUUAGUGAUCCGACGGUUCUGCGUGGAAGGGCCGUCGCUCAACGGAUAAAAGUUACUCUAAGGAUAACAGGCUGAUCUCCCCCAAGAGUUCACAUCGACGGGGAGGUUUGGCACCUCGAUGUCGGCUCAUCGCAACCUGGGGCUGAAGUCGGUCCCAAGGGUUGGGCUGUUCGCCCAUUAAAGCGGUACGCGGGCUGGGUUCAGAACGUCGUGAGACAGUUCGGUCCAUAUCCGGUGCAUGCGCAGGAAUAUUGAGAGGAGUUCUCCCUAGUACGAGAGGACCGGGAGGAACGCACCUCUGGUGUACCAUUUAUCGUGCCAACGGUAAACGCUGGGUAGCCAUGUGCGGAGAGGAUAACCGCUGAAAGCAUCUAAGUGGGAAGCCCACCUCAAGAUGAGUAUUCCCAUGGCGUUAGCCAGUAAGGUCACGGGAAGAACACCCGUUGAUAGGCUCUAUGUGGAAGCGCAGUAAUGCGUGAAGCAGAGGAGUACUAAUAGACCGAGGGCUUGACCAA
rnacentral:rRNA from 1 species